UGGGGAAUUUUGGACAAUGGGCGAAAGCCUGAUCCAGCAAUGCCGCGUGUGUGAAGAAGGCCUUCGGGUUGUAAAGCACUUUUGUCCGGAAAGAAAUCCUUGGCUCUAAUACAGUCGGGGGAUGACGGUACCGGAAGAAUAAGCACCGGCUAACUACGUGCCAGCAGCCGCGGUAAUACGCAGGGUGCAAGCGUUAAUCGGAAUUACUGGGCGUAAAGCGUGCGCAGGCGGUUUGCUAAGACCGAUGUGAAAUCCCCGGGCUCAACCUGGGAACUGCAUUGGUGACUGGCAGGCUAGAGUAUGGCAGAGGGGGGUAGAAUUCCACGUGUAGCAGUGAAAUGCGUAGAGAUGUGGAGGAAUACCGAUGGCGAAGGCAGCCCCCUGGGCCAAUACUGACGCUCAUGCACGAAAGCGUGGGGAGCAAACAGGAUUAGAUACCCUGGUAGUCCACGCCCUAAACGAUGUCAACUAGUUGUUGGGGAUUCAUUUCCUUAGUAACGUAGCUAACGCGUGAAGUUGACCGCCUGGGGAGUACGGUCGCAAGAUUAAAACUUAAAUGAAUUGACGGGGUCAUAGCUGUUUCCU
rnacentral:rRNA from 1 species